CCUACGGGCGGCAGCAGUGGGGAAUAUUGCACAAUGGGGGAAACCCUGAUGCAGCGACGCCGCGUGAGCGAAGAAGUAUCUCGGUAUGGAAAGCUCUAUCAGCAGGGAAGAAAAUGACGGUAACUGACUAAGAAGCCCCGGCUAACUACGUGCCAGCAGCCGCGGUAAUACGUAGGGGGCAAGCGUUAUCCGGCUGUACUAGGGGUAAAGGGAGCGCCGGCGGGGCGGGAAGUCUGAUGUGAAAGCCCGGUGCUCAACCCCGGGACUGCAUUGGAGACGGUCGUGCUUGAGUGUCGGAGGGGCAAGUGGAAUGCCUAGUGUAGCGGUGAAAUGCGUAGAUAUUAGGAGGAACACCAGUUGCGAAGGCGGCUUGCUGGACGACAACUGACGCUGAGGCUCGAAAGAGUGGGGAGCAAACAGGAUUAGAUACCCCGGUAGUC
rnacentral:rRNA from 1 species